CGUCAAUUUUUACACCGUGUAAAAUUAUUUCAAAAUAUCCGGUGUUAAACGAACGAAAUCAUAUACCGGGAAAAGGUUAGGAAAGCUGUUAAAAAAAAUCAAAAAAUUAUUGGCAGUUUUGUUUUCAUCGCGAUGGUAACGAAUGAAAAAAGACGGUUUUUCGAAUAUGUUCAAUAUCAAAGUGAUUUUUGUGGUUUUUAAAUUGAAUGCACCAAAUCGAAUGUCACGAUAGAUUUAUAGGUUUUGACAUCACCAUCCGGGAUAAAAUAAUAACGCAAUCAGAAUACAGACAUUUGACGACGGAAAUGUUUUGUACGAGUCACUUGUUAAAGCGCGCCACCUGUUUCUUGGCUCAAAAUCACGCUUUACACGAAAACUUCAUGCCUCGAAUAGUGCUACCCGAUUU